UACGAAGGGGGCUAGCGUUGUUCGGAAUUACUGGGCGUAAAGGGCGCGUAGGCGGUACUUCAAGUCAGGCGUGAAAGCCCCGGGCUCAACCUGGGAACCGCGCUUGAGACUGGAGAACUAGAGUUCGGGAGAGGAUGGUGGAAUUCCCAGUGUAGAGGUGAAAUUCGUAGAUAUUGGGAAGAACACCGAUGGCGAAGGCGGCGACCUGGUCCGAUACUGACGCUGAGGCGCGAAAGCGUGGGGAGCAAACAGG
rnacentral:rRNA from 1 species